ACCAUGGCCGACUUCAUUAAUAUACACUAACGUGUAUAUACGGCCGUUUCAAUUUUUGAUUUUCCAUUAGAAAAAAUGUUCCGCCGCCUAGUGCAUAUUGUGGCGCCCUCAAACGACAGAUCUCGUGCUAUUUCUGUCAAAUUAAUUGUCGAGUUGAAACUGACAUUGACAACAAAUUUUACUCGAAGCAUAAAAAAAAGCAGUUUGGUUCAGAUAAUAAGGUUUUUUUUUAAUUUUAUCACAAAACACAGUUUAAAAUUUAAUGCAAAUCUCUUGACAGAAUCUGUGGUCUCCAAGCAAAGAUUGCUGAGAACUGGCUUUACAGUCGUUUUGAUUAUAUAUUUGCACACAGAAUCCCUGUGAUUUGUACAGACAAAAAUGGGAUUUUGCACAAGGUGUGGAUACAGUUCUUCAACUAUCAGCUGAAUAAUACCAACAAAGAUAUCUUUGGGAUAGACUAAACCUCCUCGGUUUUGAAUGGCAAUCAAUUGUAGCAAAGGACCUGGAAUGCUAGUACAUAAUAGAGGUGUUAAACAUUCAUCACAAUGAAAUAAAUCUUCUAAUUUUUUUAUUAUGUAUCCUGCCAAGAAAGCUACUGAUGCUGAGAAAAUAUUAUUAUCAGGUAUGAUGCACUUCUUAAGAUUGUGAAUAUUUCUUCGUACUUCAAUUGGAAAUAUGAGUUGUUCUGUGUGCUUAGUAAAGCUCUCUCUGUUUGCCUUAAUGCAUAAUCUGCAGCUCUGGCAUCUGUGGCAUCAUUAGAACCACCUUUCAGUCUUACAUGUGAAAACAUGCUGAAGGAUCGCGUUACAACAUAAUCGAAGCCAACCUGGCUUAGCAAAAAAUUUACACAGAGGUAUGUGCUUUUUGCCGUGAAUUGUAACGCAUGAGCUGUUUCCUUAGUAAGACCUUUAAAUCCAACAUCUACAGAAGUCUUCUGGAUAUCGUCAAUAUACUUUGGAAAUGUGACAUUUAACCAGUCAAGACGUUCAUCUGAAAUAUGCACAUAUGGUGCAAUACUGCUAUCUAGUGAACGAAGAUAGUGAUCUCUGCUUGAAACAUUAUGCACCUGAAAAAAAUGGUACAUGUUUUCCAUAUAGAAUAUAGAGGCAUCAGCGUCUACAAAGCGAUCGUCCCCUGCAGCUUUUAGAAAUUUUAAAGAAGAGGUUACAGUAGGCACGGAGGCCCAAUUACAGGGGAACGGGACAUACACGACACCCAGAGCCAGGGCGGGAAUCGAACCCACGACCCAAGGUGUAGCGGGCAAGCAUGAUGCUAACUAACCCACCCGGGUCCUCUUCUCAUCCCUUAGGACAUUCAUUUUUUCAAAGUUUGAUGGAAAUAGAUGCUUCUUUGUUAAAUAUCUGACAGGCUUUACUGGCAUUCCCUUCUGCAAAUCAUACAAUAAUUUGAGAGCAUGGCAGAAAUCGAAACUCAAAAAUAGUGGAAUAUGUUCCAGAAUGGGAUGAUUAAUGGAAUUUUUCAGUGAUCCGUUUCCAAAUUUUUUAAAGAGGGCGACAUUUGUUGAAAUAUUGUCUGUAACAAAUCUAAUCACAAUGUAGCCGCAGUUUGUCAGAAGUUGUAAAAUGUUUUUUGUUAAUAAAUAUAAUUCCUGAGUUGUUAACGACGAGUGGAAAAAAUACCCUGCUGGUAUUGUAUAUCUAGUACUCAAUCCCUGCACCACAAAACAAAGCAUCUUGUUGGCUACUUUUGGCUUAGUUCCAACACGAGUAGAACUUGUUGUCUCUAAGCCAUAAAUUCGAUCUUCUGCCCUACAGUAAUGAACUUUUUCUUUUAUGGACAUGUCGUCCAUUAUUAAGGAGCAGAUCCUUUCAACUGGCUUUUUUAAUUGACCAAUUUCUGCACACAAUC